rnacentral:rRNA from 1 species
UUGGAGGGCAAGUCUGGUGCCAGCAGCCGCGGUAAUUCCAGCUCCAAUAGCGUAUAUUAAAGUUGUUGCAGUUAAAAAGCUCGUAGUUGAAUUUCGGGAUCAAUAUAUCGGUCGUGCCAUCGGUACGUACUGGUAUGAUUGGUUUCUCCUUUCUGACGAACCAUGAUGUCAUUAAUUUGGUGUUAUGGGAAGUUAGGACUGUUACUUUGAAAAAAUUAGAGUGUUUAAAGCAGGCUUUAGCUUGAAUACAUUAGCAUGGAAUAAUGAAAUAGGACGUUCGAACCUAUUUUGUUGGUUUCUAGGAUCAACGUAAUGAUUAAUAGGGAUAGUUGGGGGCAUUAGUAUUCAAUUGUCAGAGGUGAAAUUCUUGGAUUUAUUGAAGACUAACUACUGCGAAAGCAUUUGCCAAGGAUGUUUUCAUUAAUCAAGAACGAAAGUUAGGGGAUCGAAGACGAUCAGAUACCGUCGUAGUCUUAACCAUAAACUAUGCCGACUAGGGAUCGGAUGAUGUUAAUUUUUUAAUGACUCAUUCGGCGCCUUACGGGAAACCAAAGUGUUUGGGUUC